UACAUGGGGUGCAACGUUGCUCGGAAUUAUUGGCGUAAAGCGCGCGUAGGCGGUUACUUAAGUCGGAUGUGAAAGCCCUCGGCUUAACUGAGGAAGUGCAUCCGAAACUGAGUUGCGUAGAGUACGAAAGAGGGUCGCGGAAGUUCCCGGUGUAGAGGUGAAAUUCGAUAGAUAUCGGGAGGAACACCGGUGGCGAAGGCGGCGACCUGGGUCGAGACUGACGCUGAUGCGCGAAGCGUGGGAGCAACAGGAUAGAACCGUAGUAGUC
rnacentral:rRNA from 1 species